rnacentral:rRNA from 1 species
UAGCGAAAUUCCUUGUCGGGUAAGUUCCGACCUGCACGAAUGGCGUAAUGAUGGCCAGGCUGUCUCCACCCGAGACUCAGUGAAAUUGAACUCGCUGUGAAGAUGCAGUGUACCCGCGGCAAGACGGAAAGACCCCGUGAACCUUUACUAUAGCUUGACACUGAACAUUGAGCCUUGAUGUGUAGGAUAGGUGGGAGGCUUUGAAGUGUGGACGCCAGUCUGCAUGGAGCCGACCUUGAAAUACCACCCUUUAAUGUUUGAUGUUCUAACGUUGACCCGUAAUCCGGGUUGCGGACAGUGUCUGGUGGGUAGUUUGACUGGGGCGGUCUCCUCCUAAAGAGUAACGGAGGAGCACGAAGGUUGGCUAAUCCUGGUCGGACAUCAGGAGGUUAGUGCAAUGGCAUAAGCCAGCUUGACUGCGAGCGUGACGGCGCGAGCAGGUGCGAAAGCAGGUCAUAGUGAUCCGGUGGUUCUGAAUGGAAGGGCCAUCGCUCAACGGAUAAAAGGUACUCCGGGGAUAACAGGCUGAUACCGCCCAAGAGUUCAUAUCGACGGCGGUGUUUGGCACCUCGAUGUCGGCUCAUCACAUCCUGGGGCUGAAGUAGGUCCCAAGGGUAUGGCUGUUCGCCAUUUAAAGUGGUACGCGAGCUGGGUUUAGAACGUCGUGAGACAGUUCGGUCCCUAUCUGCCGUGGGCGCUGGAGAACUGAGGGGGGCUGCUCCUAGUACGAGAGGACCGGAGUGGACGCAUCACUGGUGUUCGGGUUGUCAUGCCAAUGGCACUGCCCGGUAGCUAAAUGCGGAAGAGAUAAGUGCUGAAAGCAUCUAAGCACGAAACUUGCCCCGAGAUGAGUUCUCCCUGACUCCUUGAGAGUCCUGAAGGAACGUUGAAGACGACGACGUUGAUAGGCCGGGUGUGUAAGCGCAGCGAUGCGUUGAGCUAACCGGUACUAAUGAACCGUGAGG